rnacentral:tRNA from 1 species
GGCCCCAUCGUCUAGAGGCCUAGGACGCCGGGUUUUCAUCCCGGAAACCGCGGGUUCGAAUCCCGCUGGGGUCACCA